GACGAACGCUGGCGGCGUGCCUAAUACAUGCAAGUCGAGCGAAUGACGAGAAGCUUGCUUCUCUGAUUUAGCGGCGGACGGGUGAGUAACACGUGGGCAACCUGCCCUACAGAUCGGGAUAACUCAGGGAAGCCUGGGCUAAUACCGGAUAAUCCUUCGAAUCACGUGUUUUGAAGUUGAAAGGCGCUUCGGCGUCACUGUAGGAUGGGCCCGCGGUGCAUUAGCUAGUUGGUGGGGUAACGGCCUACCAAGGCAACGAUGCAUAGCCGACCUGAGAGGGUGAUCGGCCACAUUGGGACUGAGACACGGCCCAAACUCCUACGGGAGGCAGCAGUAGGGAAUCUUCCACAAUGGACGAAAGUCUGAUGGAGCAACGCCGCGUGUGUGAUGAAGGUUUUCGGAUCGUAAAACUCUGUUGUAAGGGAGGAACAAGUACGUUAGGAAAUGAACGUACCUUGACGGUACCUUAUUAGAAAGCCACGGCUAACUACGUGCCAGCCGCCGCAGUAA
rnacentral:rRNA from 1 species